GUUCGGGCAGCCAUGGAGCACUCGGGGCCCAGCGAAGUGACAGGCGCUGACACGGCGGGACCCGACCCUCAGCUGGCGGUCACCAUGGGCUUCACAGGAUUCGGGAAGAAAGCGCGCACGUUUGACUUGGAGGCCAUGUUUGAGCAGACUCGAAGGACAGCGGUGGAAAGGAGCCGGAAAACACUGGAAGCAAGAGAAAAAGAGGAAGAAAUGAACAGAGAAAAAGAAUUAAGAAAACAAUUGGAAGACAUUGAACCAACACCAUCGAGCUCAAGUGCAGUCAGAGAGCGCUCAAAAUCGUCAUCCAGGAGGACCAGUUAAUACUGUGGACGAAGAUAUCCUUGGCCCUUUACCUCCACCUUUGUGUGAAGAAGGAGAAGAUGACGAUGAUGAUGAUUUAGAGGAUGAAGGAGAAGAGGACAAUCCCAUCCACAGGAUUCCUGACUCGCAUGAGAUCACGCUGAAGCACGGCACUAAAACAGUUUCUGCUUUGGGUUUGGACCCCUCGGGUGCCCGUCUGGUCACUGGAGGAUAUGACUAUGAUGUUAAGUUUUGGGACUUUGCUGGAAUGGAUGCUUCUUUCAAGGCAUUUCGAUCUCUUCAGCCUUGUGAAUGCCAUCAGAUCAAGUCGUUACAGUACAGUAACA
rnacentral:lncRNA from 1 species